rnacentral:rRNA from 1 species
UGGGGAAUAUUGGACAAUGGGCGCAAGCCUGAUCCAGCCAUGCCGCGUGAGUGAUGAAGGCCCUAGGGUUGUAAAGCUCUUUCACCGGUGAAGAUAAUGACGGUAACCGGAGAAGAAGCCCCGGCUAACUUCGUGCCAGCAGCCGCGGUAAUACGAAGGGGGCUAGCGUUGUUCGGAUUUACUGGGCGUAAAGCGCACGUAGGCGGACUAUUAAGUCAGGGGUGAAAUCCCGGGGCUCAACCCCGGAACUGCCUUUGAUACUGGUAGUCUUGAGUUCGAGAGAGGUGAGUGGAAUUCCGGGUGUAGAGGUGAAAUUCGUAGAUAUUCGGAGGAACACCAGUGGCGAAGGCGGCUCACUGGCUCGAUACUGAGGCUGAGGUGCGAAAGCGUGGGGAGCAAACAGG